AUUAAGUUUUGAGAUAUCUUUGACUACAGGGGCGGGGUGUAUUAUUCUGAUUUCUGCAGUACCUUUAGUGGCUCUGACUCAAAGACUUAAGUAUCGAGGCUCUUCAGCAGGAGGAGGGAUAUCAAGAAAUAUAACACAUAAUGAAAGGCUUCAAAUGGUCUUAUGGGACUAAUUAUUUAACUAGAGGUGAUUAAUGGCAACACUGGAGGAAAGAGAAUCCCUACCUAAGGAACCCAAAUAAAGAUUCUCGC